rnacentral:rRNA from 1 species
CGCGUAGGCGGCGUGGUAAGUCAGCUGUGAAAUCUCCGAGCUUAACUCGGAACGGUCAGCUGAUACUGCUGUGCUAGAGUACAGAAAGGGGCAAUCGGAAUUCUUGGUGUAGCGGUGAAAUGCGUAGAUAUCAAGAGGAACACCUGAGGUGAAGACGGGUUGCUGGGCUGAUACUGACGCUGAAAGCGCGGAAAAGCUAAGGGUAGCGAAAACGG